rnacentral:rRNA from 1 species
UACGUAGGGGGCAAGCGUUAUCCGGAUUUACUGGGUGUAAAGGGAGCGUAGACGGCAGUGCAAGUCUGGAGUGAAAGACGGGGGCUCAACCCCCGGACUGCUCUGGAAACUGUACGGCUGGAGUGCAGGAGAGGUAAGUGGAAUUCCUAGUGUAGCGGUGAAAUGCGUAGAUAUUAGGAGGAACACCAGUGGCGAAGGCGGCUUACUGGACUGUAACUGACGUUGAGGCUCGAAAGCGUGGGGAGCAAACAGG